UCCCAGACUCCUACGGGAGGCAGCAGUGGGGAAUAUUGCACAAUGGGGGAAACCCUGAUGCAGCGACGCCGCGUGAGUGAGGAAGUAUUUCGGUAUGUAAAGCUCUAUCAGCAGGGAAGAAAAUGACGGUACCUGACUAAGAAGCCCCGGCUAACUACGUGCCAGCAGCCGCGGUAAUACGUAGGGGGCAAGCGUUAUCCGGAUUUACUGGGUGUAAAGGGAGCGUAGACGGAAUAGCAAGUCUGAUGUGAAAACCCGGGGCUCAACUCCGGGAGUGCAUUGGAAACUGUUGAUCUAGAGUGUCGGAGAGGCAAGCGGAAUUCCUAGUGUAGCGGUGAAAUGCGUAGAUAUUAGGAGGAACACCAGUGGCGAAGGCGGCUUACUGGACUGUAACUGACACUGAGGCACGAAAGCGUGGGGAGCAAACAGGAUUAGAUACCCUGGUAAA
rnacentral:rRNA from 1 species